rnacentral:rRNA from 1 species
AUUGAACGCUGGCGGCAUGCCUUACACAUGCAAGUCGAACGGCAGCACGGGGCAACCUGGUGGCGAGUGGCGAACGGGUGAGUAAUGCAUCGGAACGUACCUUUCAGUGGGGGAUAACGUAGCGAAAGUUACGCUAAUACCGCAUAUUCUGUGAGCAGGAAAGCAGGGGAUCGCAAGACCUUGCGCUGAUUGAGCGGCCGAUGUCAGAUUAGCUAGUUGGUGAGGUAAAGGCUCACCAAGGCGACGAUCUGUAGCGGGUCUGAGAGGAUGAUCCGCCAGACUGGAACUGGGACACGGUCCAGACUCCUACGGGAGGCAGCAGUGGGGAAUUUUGGACAAUGGGGGCAACCCUGAUCCAGCCAUGCCGCGUGAGUGAAGAAGGCCUUCGGGUUGUAAAGCUCUUUCGGCCGGGAAGAAAUCGCACGGGCUAAUACCCUGUGUGGAUGACGGUACCGGAAUAGGAAGCACCGGCUAACUACGUGCCAGCAGCCGCGGUAAGAC